rnacentral:tRNA from 1 species
AGGUCGGUUGCCUCAGGAGUGGUGCGAAUACUGUCAAUAUUUUGACCAUCAAUGGUGGUGGUGAUCGUUCCGAUCAAUCCCGUCUUC